GAUGAACGCUGGCGGCGUGCCUAAUACAUGCAAGUCGAGCGAACGGACGAGAAGAUUGCUUCUCUGAUGUUAGCGGCGGACGGGUGAGUAACACGUGGAUAACCUACCUAUAAUACUGGGAUAACUUCGGGAAACCGGAGCUAAUACCGGAUAAUAUUUUGAACCGCAUGGUUCAAAAGUGAAAGACGGUCUUGCUGUCACUUAUCGAUGGAUCCGCGCUGCAUUAGCUAGUUGGUAAGGUAACGGCUUACCAAGGCAACGAUGCAUGGCCGACCUGAGAGGGUGAUCGGCCACACUGGAACUGAGACACGGUCCAGACUCCUACGGGAGGCAGCAGUAGGGAAUCUUCCGCAAUGGGCGAAAGCCUGACGGAGCAACGCCGCGUGAGUGAUGAAGGUCUUCGGAUCGUAAAACUCUGUUAUUAGGGAAGAACAUAUGUGUAAGUAACUGUGCACAUCUUGACGGUACCUAAUCAGAAAGCCACGGCUAACUACGUG
rnacentral:rRNA from 1 species